rnacentral:hammerhead_ribozyme from 1 species
AUCCAGCUAACGAGUCCCAAACGGGACGAAAUGUGCAUCUUGGAU